UACGUAGGGGGCGAGCGUUGUCCGGAAUUAUUGGGCGUAAAGAGCGUGUAGGCUGUUCGGUAAGUCUGCCGUGAAAACCUGAGGCUCAACCUCGGGCGUGCGGUGGAUACUGCCGGGCUAGAGGACGGUAGAGGCGAGUGGAAUUCCCGGUGUAGCGGUGAAAUGCGUAGAUAUCGGAAGGAACAUCAGUGGCGAAAGCGACUUCCUGGACCAAUACUGACGCUCAUGUGCGAAAGCGUAGGGAGCAAACAGG
rnacentral:rRNA from 1 species